GGUUAAGCGAAUAAGCGUACACGGUGGAUGCCUAGGCAAUCAGAGGCGAUGAAGGACGUGCUAAUCUGCGAAAAGCGUCGGUAAGGUGAUAUGAACCGUUAUACCCGACGAUAUCCGAAUGGGGAAACCCAGUAUCCAAUGGAUACUAUCAUUAACUGAAUCCAUAGGUUAAUGAGGCGAACCGGGAGAACUGAAACAUCUCAGUACCCCGAGGAAAAGAAAUCAACCGAGAUUCCCCUAGUAGCGGCGAGCGAACGGGGAGCAGCCCAGAGUCUUAAUCAAUAACAGUGUCAGGAGAACGGUCUGGAAAGUCCGGCAGUAAAGGGUGAUAGCCCCGUAUCUGAAGAUGCUGUUAUUGUGAACUCGACGAGUAGGGCGGGACACGUGUUAUCCUGUCUGAAUAUGGGGGGACCAUCCUCCAAGGCUAAAUACUCCUGAUUGACCGAUAGUGAACCAGUACCGUGAGGGAAAGGCGAAAAGAACCCCGGCGAGGGGAGUGAAAAAGAACCUGAAACCGUGUACGUACAAGCAGUAGGAGCCCCAUCACUCAAGUGCCUCGCACUGAGUGAUGCAAGAACAUCACCGAAAAUAGCGCCGAAUUUGCUAACAAGGUUGGUCGAUUUUUUCAAGCCGUCGCGCAGUGUACCUAGAAGUACACGAGCAACGGAAGUUAAAAAAUCGGGCAAGAUUGAACGCAAAGGCAAGCGGGACAUUUGAGGAUGGGGUGACUGCGUACCUUUUGUAUAAUGGGUCAGCGACUUAUAUUCUGUAGCAAGGUUAACCGCAUAGGGGAGCCGUAGGGAAACCGAGUCUUAACUGGGCGAAUGAGUUGCAGGGUAUAGACCCGAAACCCGGUGAUCUAUCCAUGGGCAGGUUGAAGGUUGGGUAACACUAACUGGAGGACCGAACCGA
rnacentral:rRNA from 1 species